UUUUGACUUAUUAUGAUUUAAGCUUAUAAGUAACUCCUGUUUGUCUGGCCUAUUUCAAUUGUUAUCGAUCCUGUUCUGUAAAGAUGUUUGUCUUGCCUUUUGUAGCUACCACUUCAAUAUAGCUGAUUCAGAGCUGCAUCAGCAUAAAGAAAAAAAUGCAGUAAAGCUGGUUUGUUGAGUAGUUGUGCAGCUUCUGCAGCUAUGUGAAGGUACGUUGUGCAUUUCUUUUGCUAGCUCACAGUGGCGUACAUAAUCUGUCCUCGUGUGUUGUAAUAUGUUCAUUAAUAUGUCGGGACCUAACAUUGAACAAAAUUUCCAGGAAAAAUGGGCGAAGAACCUAUAUAUCACCUCAAUCUGCUACUGGCGACCCGUGUGUUAGACGUAGACGGCAAGCUGAACUCUUGUGCCAAUUGUAAAGAAUCAUGCUCGGCUGUUUUGGUUGGUUGCUGUCUAUCUAUGAUCCAACUUUUGAUAAAAUGGACUCCGAAAUGAGAGCGGGGGAACAUCGGUGCGUUUUAAAGUCAUGCACCUGAAAUGCGACAUCGUUUUUCCUGCCGUCUGCUAGUUGUUGUUCUGGCUUGUUCUCGUUUUGUUGCAGUAAAGAACAUCGUAAACAGAGGUCCCUCUUAGUCUGUUUGUUAUCUAGUUGUCCCAACAACUUAAGGCAAAAUUGCAAUCCCAAAG
rnacentral:lncRNA from 1 species